rnacentral:rRNA from 1 species
UAAUACAGAGGGUGCGAGCGUUGUCCGGAAUCACUGGGCGUAAAGGGCGCGUAGGCGGUUUGCCAAGCGUGCGGUGAAAGCCCGGGGCUCAACUCCGGGUCGGCCGUGCGAACUGGGAGACUGGAGUCCGGUAGAGGCCGAUGGAAUUCCGGGUGUAGCGGUGGAAUGCGUAGAGAUCCGGAAGAACACCGGUGGCGAAGGCGGUCGGCUGGGCCGGUGGUCGUGAGACCACCCACGAGCACUCGAAAGGGUGGGAGUGGGACUGACGCUGAGGCGCGACAGCGUGGGGAGCAAACAGGAUUAGAUACCCUGGUAGUCCACGCCGUAAACGAUGGGCACUAGAUCCCUGGGGGAGCGACCCCGUGGGGGUCGGCGCUAACGCAUUAAGUGCCCCGCCUGGGGAGUACGGCCGCAAGGCUG